rnacentral:lncRNA from 1 species
AAAGCCUGGAGAAGUGGAAUCUCGCCGGCGCCGCUCCCUGCGCGGGACUCGCGGAGCGGCACUGGGCAUGCUCAGUCUCCGGAGCCCGUCCAGGUCUCAAGUAGGAAGCUCGUGCGCUGCACCCGCAGCUGAUUCUGGCGCUCCUGGCUGGGCGAGACUGGAGCAGAGCUGACGGGCGCCGGAGCCGAGGCGGACGCCGCGCGCACCGCCGAACAACAAUGCUGUGCUCACCCAAAUUCCCGGUUGUUGAAACCCAACCAGGAAAGGGACUUCCUUAAGGUUGGAGCUGCACUGAGUGAGCUGUUGCCGUCCGGGGCCAAGCAUGCUGUGGUUGGACCUGCCCAGCCGUGGAACAGAAAUGUUUGCUGGAUGGAAAAUCCAUAAAAGAAAGCUCCUGUGAAAGCCUGAGACAGACAGUGACUUAAGCAAAAUCAGGAUUGCUUUGAGGGAGCCUGUUGUUAAAUGGGUCAGCUUCCUGGAGCAAAGAAUGGAGUGGAAAAGUGGAGCGGUGAGUGGAAUC